rnacentral:lncRNA from 1 species
CUCUUCCGGAGUAACGUGUGCAGCUCACAGGGAGGGUUUUUUAUUUUAACUCCCUAGGAGCUGGGCCUUGGCUUGUGCUGGAUCUGAAGAAAGCCGAUUAUUUGAACCUGAGGAGGGAGCGCUGGCCGUAAACCCUGCAUGCUGGAGGCGGAGCCAGGCGGCGUUUCAGGCCAGCCUGGUGUACACGUUCCAGCAAUCCGGUGACCUACGCAGAGAAACCCUGUCUCGAAGAACAACAAAGAGAGAGAGAGAGAGACAGAGACAGAUAAAAGACUAGAAAUCCCAAAUGACAGAAAGGAAACUGCUCCUUUGUGGUACAGCUGAGAGCCAGUUUCCUAUGGGAGAUGAGUCACAUGCUCACGAGACUGAGAGAACAGCAUCUACAUUCCUUCACGUUCCAUCUUUCCACUGCCCUGCUUUGGCUCCUGGCCCUACGAUGACAUUGUAACUGCAGGAGCAUGUGACAAUAAAACUUCCCUAAGGUGAGUUUCUUAA